rnacentral:sRNA from 1 species
AUUGCACGUCUACACUGGGAGGCAGUGGAUGUCCUGGGCUGCAAUGUCUCACCAGUGCCUGGGUUCCAGCCCCAAGACGAGAGUCUGGUGUAUUUGUGCUACACGGUCUCCAGAGAAGAUGGCUCGUUCUCUUUCUAUUCCUUGCCAAGUGGGGGCUACACUGUGAUUCCGUUCUAUCGAGGGGAGAGGAUUACCUUUGAUGUGGCGCCUUCCAGACUUGACUUCACAGUGGAGCAUGACAGCCUGAAAAUCGAGCCCGUGUUCCACGUCAUGGGAUUCUCUGUCACCGGGAGGGUGUUGAACGGACCCGAAGGAGAUGGUGUUCCAGAAGCAGUAGUCACCCUGAAUAACCAAAUCAAAGUUAAAACAAAAGCUGAUGGCUCAUUCCGCCUUGAGAACAUAACCACAGGGACAUACACCAUCCAUGCUCAGAAAGAGCACCUCUACUUUGAAACUGUCACCAUCAAAAUUGCACCCAACACACCUCAGCUGGCUGACAUUAUUGCAACAGGGUUCAGUGUCUGUGGUCAGAUAUCAAUCAUUCGCUUCCCCGACGCCGU